UUUGGAAUAUUGCACAAUGGGGGAAACCCUGAUGCAGCGACGCCGCGUGGAGGACGAAGGAUCUAGGUCUGUAAACUCCUUUUGCCAGGAAAGACUUAGGACGGUACCUGGCGAAUAAGCCCCGGCUAACUACGUGCCAGCAGCCGCGGUAAGACGUAGGGGGCGAGCGUUGUCCGGAUUUACUGGGCGUAAAGAGCGCGUAGGCGGCUAGUUAAGUGAGAAGUGAAAUCUCCAGGGCUCAACCCGGAAACUGCUUUUCAUACUGGCCAGCUGGAGGGACGCAGGGGUGACUGGAAUUCCCGGUGUAGCGGUGAAAUGCAUUGAUAUCGGGAGGAACUCCAACAGCGAAGGCAGGUCACUGGGCGUUUCCGUGACGCUGAGGCGACGAAGCGUGGUAGACAA
rnacentral:rRNA from 1 species